CACGGGGGGAGCAAGCGUUGUUCGGAAUUACUGGGCGUAAAGGGCUCGUAGGCGGCCAACUAAGUCGGAUGUGAAAUCCCCAGGCUUAACCUGGGAACUGCAUCCGAUACUGGAUGGCUUGAAUCCGGGAGAGGGAUGCAGAAUUCCAGGUGUAGCGGUGAAAUGCGUAGAUAUCUGGAGGAAUACCGGUGGCGAAGGCGGCAUCCUGGACCGGCAUUGACGCUGAUGAGCGAAAGCCAGGGGAGCAAACGGG
rnacentral:rRNA from 1 species